AAAUUGAAGAGUUUGAUCAUGGCUCAGAUUGAACGCUGGCGGCAGGCCUAACACAUGCAAGUCGAACGGUAACAGGAAGCAGCUUGCUGCUUUGCUGACGAGUGGCGGACGGGUGAGUAAUGUCUGGGAAACUGCCUGAUGGAGGGGGAUAACUACUGGAAACGGUAGCUAAUACCGCAUAACGUCGCAAGACCAAAGAGGGGGACCUUCGGGCCUCUUGCCAUCGGAUGUGCCCAGAUGGGAUUAGCUUGUUGGUGGGGUAACGGCUCACCAAGGCGACGAUCCCUAGCUGGUCUGAGAGGAUGACCAGCCACACUGGAACUGAGACACGGUCCAGACUCCUACGGGAGGCAGCAGUGGGGGAAUAUUGCACAAUGGGCGCAAGCCUGAUGCAGCCAUGCCGCGUGUAUGAAGAAGGCCUUCGGGUUGUAAAGUACUUUCAGCGGGGAGGAAGGGAGUAAAGUUAAUACCUUUACUCAUUGACGUUACCCGCAGAAGAAGCACCGGCUAACUCCGUGCCAGCAGCCGCGGUAAUACGGAGGGUGCAAGCGUUAAUCGGAAUUACUGGGCGUAAAGCGCACGCAGGCGGUUUGUUAAGUCAGAUGUGAAAUCCCCGGGCUCAACCUGGGAACUGCAUCUGAUACUGGCAAGCUUGAGUCUCGUAGAGGGGGGUAGAAUUCCAGGUGUAGCGGUGAAAUGCGUAGAGAUCUGGAGGAAUACCGGUGGCGAAGGCGGCCCCCUGGACGAAGACUGACGCUCAGGUGCGAAAGCGUGGGGAGCAAACAGGAUUAGAUACCCUGGUAGUCCACGCCGUAAACGAUGUCGACUUGGAGGUUGUGCCCUUGAGGCGUGGCUUCCGGAGCUAACGCGUUAAGUCGACCGCCUGGGGAGUACGGCCGCAAGGUUAAAACUCAAAUGAAUUGACGGGGGCCCGCACAAGCGGUGGAGCAUGUGGUUUAAUUCGAUGCAACGCGAAGAACCUUACCUGGUCUUGACAUCCACGGAAGUUUUCAGAGAUGAGAAUGUGCCUUCGGGAACCGUGAGACAGGUGCUGCAUGGCUGUCGUCAGCUCGUGUUGUGAAAUGUUGGGUUAAGUCCCGCAACGAGCGCAACCCUUAUCCUUUGUUGCCAGCGGUCCGGCCGGGAACUCAAAGGAGACUGCCAGUGAUAAACUGGAGGAAGGUGGGGAUGACGUCAAGUCAUCAUGGCCCUUACGACCAGGGCUACACACGUGCUACAAUGGCGCAUACAAAGAGAAGCGACCUCGCGAGAGCAAGCGGACCUCAUAAAGUGCGUCGUAGUCCGGAUUGGAGUCUGCAACUCGACUCCAUGAAGUCGGAAUCGCUAGUAAUCGUGGAUCAGAAUGCCACGGUGAAUACGUUCCCGGGCCUUGUACACACCGCCCGUCACACCAUGGGAGUGGGUUGCAAAAGAAGUAGGUAGCUUAACCUUCGGGAGGGCGCUUACCACUUUGUGAUUCAUGACUGGGGUGAAGUCGUAACAAGGUAACCGUAGGGGAACCUGCGGUUGGAUCACCUCCUUACCUUAAAGAAGC
rnacentral:rRNA from 1 species